UUUUCGUUAGCUAUGGUUUAUCGUUGCUUACAGACAUUAAAUUAAUACAUUAAAUUCCCUUCUGUAUCUUACCUCCAAACCUUCCCAACUACAAUAGUGGCUGCAUCCAUCCCCAUUAUUGUAGGAAGAUUUUUUAUUUUUGUACGUUUACGACAUUAUAUCAUAAAAGAAGCGAUAACUUAUAACCAUGAUUGACGAUAGCUGAGUGCUUCCAAUUAUUUAUGUUA